rnacentral:rRNA from 1 species
GACGAACGCUGGCGGCGUGCUUAACACAUGCAAGUCGAACGGAAAGGCCCUGCUUUUGUGGGGUGCUCGAGUGGCGAACGGGUGAGUAACACGUGAGUAACCUGCCCUUGACUUUGGGAUAACUUCAGGAAACUGGGGCUAAUACCGGAUAGGAGCUCCUGCUGCAUGGUGGGGGUUGGAAAGUUCCGGCGGUUGGGGAUGGACUCGCGGCUUAUCAGCUUGUUGGUGGGGUAGUGGCUUACCAAGGCUUUGACGGGUAGCCGGCCUGAGAGGGUGACCGGCCACAUUGGGACUGAGAUACGGCCCAGACUCCUACGGGAGGCAGCAGUGGGGAAUAUUGCACAAUGGGCGGAAGCCUGAUGCAGCAACGCCGCGUGCGGGAUGACGGCCUUCGGGUUGUAAACCGCUUUCGCCUGUGACGAAGCGUGAGUGACGGUAAUGGGUAAAGAAGCACCGGCUAACUACGUGCCAGCAGCCGCGGUGAUACGUAGGGUGCGAGCGUUGUCCGGAUUUAUUGGGCGUAGAGGGCUCGUAGGUGGUUGAUCGCGUCGGAAGUGUAAUCUUGGGGCUUAACCCUGAGCGUGCUUUCGAUACGGGUUGACUUGAGGAAGGUAGGGGAGAAUGGAAUUCCUGGUGGAGCGGUGGAAUGCGCAGAUAUCAGGAGGAACACCAGUGGCGAAGGCGGUUCUCUGGGCCUUUCCUGACGCUGAGGAGCGAAAGCGUGGGGAGCGAACAGGCUUAGAUACCCUGGUAGUCCACGCUGUAAACGGUGGGUACUAGGUGUGGGGUCCAUUCCACGGGUUCCGUGCCGUAGCUAACGCUUUAAGUACCCCGCCUGGGGAGUACGGCCGCAAGGCUAAAACUCAAAGGAAUUGACGGGGCCCCGCACAAGCGGCGGAGCAUGCGGAUUAAUUCGAUGCAACGCGUAGAACCUUACCUGGGUUUGACAUGGAUCGGGAGUGCUCAGAGAUGGGUGUGCCUCUUUUGGGGUCGGUUCACAGGUGGUGCAUGCCUGUCGUCAGCUCGUGUCGUGAGAUGUUGGGUUAAGUCCCGCAACGAGCGCAACCCUUGUUCACUGUUGCCAGCACGUUAUGGUGGGGACUCAGUGGAGACCGCCGGGGUCAACUCGGAGGAAGGUGGGGAUGACGUCAAGUCAUCAUGCCCCUUAUGUCCAGGGCUUCACGCAUGCUACGAUGGCUGGUACAGAGAGUGGCGAGCCUGUGAGGGUGAGCGAAUCUCGGAAAGCCGGUCUCAGUUCGGAUUGGGGUCUGCAACUCGACCUCAUGAAGUCGGAGUCGCUAGUAAUCGCAGAUCAGCAACGCUGCGGUGAAUACGUUCCCGGG